AAAUAAGUUUAACUUAUUUAAUUAUUAAAAUAACUAUAUUAAAAGAAAUUGACAUUUGGAUUAGUAUUGCAUUUUCCAUAAACGAUGCUUAACAUGCAUGCUGGCACCAGCGUUCUAUUUUCUCAAUAUUCUUAGAAGCAUCUAUCCCUCUCCAUAGAAAGGAAACAUUGAAUUAGAAACGAAAGAGUUGGAUUUUGAAUAUUUGUGUUAAUGCUAUUACCAAUUUCAAGCUUAGGUUAAGCAAAUCAAUACCUUUUAGAUAUCAGAGAAUUCUAACAUUGGACUCUUACGCUCUCGAGAAGUUCAAACUCUACAAAACCAGAACGCUAACAUUCAAUUCUUUAAGCGAGCAGAGAUUUUACCUAACUGGAAGUGAUCGAAACAAGAGAUAGUUUCGUGUAUUGAAAAUCGAUCGAUGAGAGCAGUCUGAUCUCAACAUCAGUCAAGACCCUGUCUUGUAUUCUCCCCACGAAAUCAACACCGGCGGCCUCACUUUCAUCGCCAAAGUUUUUGGAAUUGCAGCUUCUUUAAUGGACAACAACAACAACUUUGUUCCUUCCUACGCUCGCGCCACUCCAAGUUCUGGCAAUGGCAGAGGAAGGGCUUUUGAUACGAGAAAUGAUAGAAAAAGAACAAGAGGGUGUGGUGGUGGUGGUGGGAGUGGCUCGGGAAAGGAUAAAAUUGAUUCUCUUGGUAGGCUCCUGACGCGAAUUUUACGGCAUAUGGCAUCUGAAUUGAAUUUGAAUAUGAGGAGUGAUGGUUAUGUGAACGUUAAUGAUUUGCUAAAGCUGAAUUUGAAGACAUUUGCUAAUAUUCCUCUACGGUCCCACACUAUUGAUGACAUUAGGGAGGCUGUUCGAAAAGAUAAUAAGCAACGUUUCAACCUCAUAGAAGAAAACGGGGAGCUACUAAUACGUGCAAACCAAGGCCACACAACAACGGCUGUUGAAACUGAAAGCUUAUUGAAACCAAUCCUUUCAGAUGAAGGAUUUCCAGUUUGUGUUCAUGGAACGUAUAGAAGGAACUUAGACUCAAUUCUAGCAUCUGGUCUGAAACGCAUGAAGAGAUUGCAUGUUCAUUUCUCUUGUGGUUUACCAACAGAUGGAGAAGUAAUAAGUGGUAAUGUGAUAUAUAUUAUUGAAAAGAAUCCUAUUUACCUAUGGAAAAGUUUAAAUCUGGAUAUAUUUUAUUUUUUCAUUAUGGUUAGGCAAGUUGAUUUUCUUUCUGGAAUAUUAAGGAUAGUGGUUGGGUUCAUAAUAGGAAUGAUGAAAAAGACAGACUGGUGUGAAUCAUUGUAUUAUAAUCUAGCUUUGAACCAAAUGUGGAAUCCUAAGGCUUUAUUUGAGAGUUAGGAGGGGAAGGGAAGGCUUUUGAGAGAAAUGAAGGAGGAAAGGGAAGGGGACGGUGAUAGUCCCCACCUUGCAUGAGGGGUUUACGUUUCUCCAUUAAAUUAUAAAUUUAUAUCUCUUCGUUCAAUAGGGAUCAACCAAUAGUCAAUCAUUCAAAGUGUUAAUGUGGGUGUAGUUAAAUCAGUUAGUAGUAACUAAGAACCAAAUGCAUGUAUACUUAAUUGCUGUGGCAACAACUCAUCAUUUCUCUGCAAACGAUUUGAUCAAUUUAUAGAUGGGUGUUGCAAUUUAGUAAUCCAAUCUCUCUAAGAAAUACCAUUAAUGAACACAGAAGCACGGCUUGGACCUAUAGGUAUGAGGAGAGAUGUCAAUGUUCUGAUAUUUCUUGAUGUUAGAAAAGCAUUGAAGGUUUUGAAGGUGUUGUUCCACACAAGUAUUUCCAGAAGAUAGAAUCAUGGCCUGGCAGAGAACCUAUUCCUUUUUAAAAGCUAUGCCAUAAUUUUGUUUUCACUCAUGUAAAAGUGGAGGAUUAGUAAAUGAUUGUGCAUCCCUAUAGCAAAAUCUACACAAGCUUCAAUUCAACUUAGUAUCGGAUUACAUUGAUUUGAUUUGAGAUA